GACGAACGCUGGCGGCGUGCUUAACACAUGCAAGUCGAACGGAAAGGCCCUGCUUGCAGGGUACUCGAGUGGCGAACGGGUGAGUAACACGUGGGUGAUCUGCCCUGCACUUCGGGAUAAGCCUGGGAAACUGGGUCUAAUACCGGAUAGGAGCCAUUUUUAGUGUGAUGGUUGGAAAGUUUUUUCGGUGUAGGAUGAGCUCGCGGCCUAUCAGCUUGUUGGUGGGGUAAUGGCCUACCAAGGCGGCGACGGGUAGCCGGCCUGAGAGGGUGGACGGCCACAUUGGGACUGAGAUACGGCCCAGAAUCCUACGGGAGGCAGCAGUGGGGAAUAUUGCACAAUGGGCGCAAGCCUGAUGCAGCGACGCCGCGUGGGGGAUGACGGCCUUCGGGUUGUAAACUCCUUUCGCUAGGGACGAAGCUUUUUGUGACGGUACCUAGAUAAGAAGCACCGGCUAACUACGUG
rnacentral:rRNA from 1 species